GACAAAGAAGCAGGAGCAACACUGCUGUGAAGGGCUGCUUGUGAGAAAGCCACCUAGAAGAACAGGUUCUGUCUUGCACUCCAGCUACAGCCGCAUCAGAUGGGCCAUAAAUCAUUGAACAAUACAAGCAGGAACUGGGACUUGUCUGUGCGCAGUGGAAGCAAUCAAGAAGAGCAUCCCCUCAGCCGGGGCAUGAGUUACUGCAUCUCCUGAAAUUCUCCAUGUGGGAGCACAACCUCCCACAAGGGGUCCAACACAUCCACAGAGGAAGUUUAAGACUUGGAAUAAGAUCCCAAUAUUACCAGGUAGAUUGUGCCUGAACUCGUCUGACCCUUGCUGCUGAGCCAAAGGCAGCAGCUGUGGUGUUUCACCUCAGAGACACCUUUGCCUGGCUGGAUGGUGCAGCUGGGCACUGAAACAAACCCAGGCUUGUAGAAACUCAGUUUACCUCAGGUGGAAGGGCUUCAGGCGAGGGUGAAGAGGAAAAGGAGAUGGAUUCUGGUGGAGGGUUUAAUCCAGAGUUUAUUCCAUGGUCACAGACAUCUGAAUCUUGGUAACAGCUCCAACAGAAUGCUGACCACAUGGCCCUGGCUGAAUUUAGGCCCAGGGACAGGGGGAGGGAAGGGACAGGUGAGCACCAAGCAGGUGGGAGGGGCAGGGUCUCAGGGGACGAGGGACACACAGACAGGCCAAUGACCCCAGGCCUGGGGGCAUCCUUUGAACCUGACCAACCACACGAGGACUUGCUGGAAUGUUAAAACUGACUGACAGCCCAGCGAGGGGAAGAGGAGGAAGAGAGGUAUUGCCACACCUGGGAAGGGACUGGGAAGUCUAAAACAGGAAAUUGCAACACACUGCAACAAAGACUCACAGUCCUAGAUGAAAAAUUUAAUUACUGAGCAAACUUUCCAGAUGUGCUAAAGAUUCCCUGUGUGAUCAUUGGGAUCAUGGGGCCUGGCUGGGUCAGCUCAUCCCACAGUCUUUAGUGUUGCCAUGCAGGAAACACAUCCCUGUCCUUCAGCACUUGCUAAGGCUGCAACAAGAUGUGCUCCAAGUGUGGCUACUAAACCAAGUGUAGUCUUGGAAAUAUUCCCAAACCAUCCAUCUCUGUGACAAUUAGGUCAGAAAUAUGAAUCCUUUGUUAUCAGUUCAGAGUUUUUCCAGUAACUUCUACUUAAUCUUUGGAAUGUGCACUAUUCAGAAAGGGCCACAAUUUUAAUUGGGAUGGGAACAAAUGCAUAAGCCCAAUAUAAUUUGACUUUAAGGAAUGAUCUCAGUAUUUAAAACCUAUCAGUUUUGCCCUCCACCUCAGUUAUUAAUAGCAUAGGUGCAAAAGCAAUCAGCCACUUCUCUUGGGAUAACCCAAAGCUGCUGGGGCUGUGUGGGGCUCUGAAAGGGCAUUUGGGCACCUGCAGGUUAGAACAUUGUGUGCAGAUGCCCUGCUGAAUGCAGCCUGGCUGUG